GGCAGACACAAAGGAGGUGGCGUAAUGGGCAUGGAGAUCCUGGUGUUGGAAGAAGAAGAUGAGCAGCCAAAUACUUCUAGGAAUGAUGAAACUCGCGGCCGCCGAGAGGCCACCUCAAGGUGGUGGUGGAGCUGCUCCGGCACCUUGACGCCCAGGGCGUCGGUGAAGAAUAGGUCGGGGUACAAUGCCCUAUAUGUCGUGGCCAGAGAAGGACAUCACGGUGAGUUUGAUCCUGACCUCUUUGCUGUGAGUUGCAUGUCCCUCCGGUAAAUUGUGGUGCCUUGAGCUUUGGAACUGUGUGAUUUUCUGUUUGUUGGUUUUGUAGCGACAUACUUGGUACAUACUAGCAGUUUGUUUGGUUCAGGAUCUGGAAAUGUAUGUAAAAAUGUACAUAAUAGUAUAGUUGUGAACUGCAAUACAAAGCUUGGCAUAGCUUCCUUUUGCAAUUAGCUGUCAUUUGGGGAAAGACAUUUGUAAUAGGAUGACUCGCAUAUCAACACUAACUUAUAGUGAGAGUCCGAUAUUUUGCACUGCCGUCCACCCAGAACAUCCUUAAGUAGGUUUCAACUAAUUGGGAUACAAAUUACAGAACAUAGAUCACUCAAUGUUUUAGUCUGUACAACUCCUUGCUGAUUGAUUUCUUCAUUUUCAAAUGAAUUUUAGGUGUUAAAAUCUCUUCGCUUGUUUCUGACCUUAGUGUAUGUCUGUUUACAAGAGAUUGAGCUAUUACACAUCAAAGACUGGGAUAAUCGAGUAAACUGCCGUGCAAAAUAGGAAAAAGUAUUAGGAUAGGAUCACUUGCAAAAGUUUGGUGCAUGAUCUGGAUAUUGGGCAUGCACUGCAUGUUUGUAUGAUGACUCCAGACACCUAUAAUUGUAGAUUCACAUCAAAUUUGUGUGCCUUUGAUGUGUUUAUGCAAAUCCUAGAUACCUUGCUUCCAAUAGAACAACCAGUCAUCACUUUCUAAUUUUAGAAUGGUAAUGGUGAAACUGGUGUAAUCGAUAAUUCAUUUGUAUCCAGGAUAAGCUAGCAUAGUGUAUUAACAUAUGCUCACUCCUGUAUUAUUCAUUGUAUGCUUAUGUUGCCUAUUAGUUAUGUAGGACACUCGUGAGAGCUGUGCCUGUGUUGCACUGUUGCUAAUGUAAUAGCUUUUGAGUCACAUGCCUGUCACCGUCGCAAAGUGCAAGAAGAAAUCUCCGAGGAAGAUCCAUGAAGCCGAGAGGGAGAAGGAUGAGCGUGACCUGUUCAAUUAUCUUUUCGGUGAACUUGGCGAAAUAGGUGUGCAUCAAUCACUAACCUCGACACCUCGUAGAUUAUGUCAGAGCCAGCAUGCUUUAGUUACCAUGUCUCUGAAUUUCGGGGGUCGUUUCCUUUUCCAUGUGGUUAUUUGGAAUGUUAGAGCUAAGCAUGGGUAUGUCUGAAUCUGCAUCAUCUUGUUACCAUCCAUUUGCAUGUGAUGCUUUCGCGGUGAAUACUGGGGUUCAGUAUGUGUCAUGGAUUUCCUUAGCUAGAUCCCAGUGAAUGUUUAUGCUAAUGAAAAUGUGUAUGAACCCAUUCAAAAUUAGUAACACCAGAAGACCUCUCGACGUUUGUUGGCGAUUCAUUACGUUAGGCAUACUUGUCAACAUAUAAAAUUGUGUAUUGCCUGCAUCCAUUAACAAUGGUUUUCUAAUGCAUCUGUCUCACCCAUGCAUCUUGCAUCAAGUUGUAUGUGUGUUGGAGUCUAUUGCUUCUUAUAUUGCACCGUGUGUGUCGUGGGGUCGAGGAAAAGGCCGGCACCGACGUCGACGUGCACACACUGACGCAACCUCGAGCCGACCCACGUGGCGGGCGCGCGUGGGCUGGAAGCAGGACACGAUGUUCUUGGUAUGGAGAAAGGGAGAAGAGAGAGGCCACAGACCGGUGUGCUGAUGAGCCCCCAUCAUAGGGUACUACAACCAUUUUGGUUAGCUGCAAGGAUGAAGACAAUGGGGAAAGAAUGCAAAGAUAUUCAGUGAAGCCGCAGAUCUAGCGUUUGGAGAACUAUGGACAAGCCAUGUACAAGUACAUAGGUUGCUGCGUACACAGAAAGAACAAAUGAAACGGGCUUGCAGAUUUAGUUUUCAUUUGCACGUCAUCAAAGCUAAUGCUUCCUGUUAAAACAAUGGCCCCUGCAACAAGGUAACAAGUCUCUGCCUCAACCGAUCUCCUUCGCCAGUUUAUAUGCAGAUGGAGGUCGCACGAACAGAAAGACAAUGGUGUCCAGGCUUUGGUUGCAGUGCGUUCCAGGAUGGGAACCUCUUUUAUUUUGUUUCCAGUUUCACUUUUUUAGAACA